rnacentral:rRNA from 1 species
UACGUAGGUGACAAGCGUUGUCCGGAUUUACUGGGCGUAAAGAGCGCGCAGGCGGUCGUUCAAGUCGAGUGUGAAAGCCCCCGGCUCAACCUUGGGGCUGCGUUCGAGACGGGCAUUCUGGAGUGGGGAAGAGGGUCGUGGAAUUCCCAGUGUAGAGGUGAAAUUCGUAGAUAUUGGGAAGAACACCGGUGGCGAAGGCGGGUCUCUGGGCCGAUACUGACGCUGAGGAGCGAAAGCGUGGGGAGCGAACAGG